AGAUUGAACGCUGGCGGCAGGCCUAACACAUGCAAGUCGAGCGGUAGAGAGGUGCUUGCACCUCUUGAGAGCGGCGGACGGGUGAGUAAUGCCUAGGAAUCUGCCUAGUGGUGGGGGAUAACGUUCGGAAACGGACGCUAAUACCGCAUACGUCCUACGGGAGAAAGCGGGGGACCUUCGGGCCUCGCGCCAUUAGAUGAGCCUAGGUCGGAUUAGCUAGUUGGUGAGGUAAUGGCUCACCAAGGCGACGAUCCGUAACUGGUCUGAGAGGAUGAUCAGUCACACUGGAACUGAGACACGGUCCAGACUCCUACGGGAGGCAGCAGUGGGGAAUAUUGGACAAUGGGCGAAAGCCUGAUCCAGCCAUGCCGCGUGUGUGAAGAAGGUCUUCGGAUUGUAAAGCAACUUUAAGUUGGAGGAAGGUUGUAACUUAAUACGUUGCAACUUUGACGUUACCGACAGAAUAAGCACCGGCUAAACUUCGCGCCAGCAGCCG
rnacentral:rRNA from 1 species